CGCGGGGUAGAGCAGUUGGCAGCUCGGGAGGCCCAUAACCUCCAGGUCGUCGGUUCGAGUCCGACCCCCGCAA
rnacentral:tRNA from 1 species